CCCACUCCCUCGUCCUUGGCUGAGUUACUGAAGCACAAGGAGAGAAAAGAACCAUUUAGGCCAUGGGGACAGAAUUGACGUGGUGGGAUGAGAGACGACCCAGGGUUUUAUAAAAGCUGGUGCAGGGGUGCUUCUGAUCCAGAAAGGGCAGUAAAUGAAGGAUCUUAAAUCCUGAACAUGUACUUUUGAUCAUGUAUUAUCUAUUUGUUACCUUAGGACCAAUGUCUGUUGCUUGUAAUAUGUAGACAUUUAUCCAAAUACACACACCUAAAACAUCUUUUAGAUUGUCACACUCCAAAUUUCUCUUAUACUAUUUUUUAUUCUGUAAUCUGGACUCUUGAAAGUGAAUAUAUUGAAACACUGGCAUUGAUCUUUGUUACUGUAAUCAGAUCUUUAUAUAUUGACAGAUGAUCACUCUGAUGUUUUCUAUUUAAAAACGAAGUGUAACAUAACAGGAAGGUGCUUUAGAUAUAAUGAGGUUCAGCAGUUCGAUAAUAAUCUGACAGCAGAAGACCACUAUGGAACUGUUAAAACAAUUAGUUGUGUUUUCGAGUCUUUUAUUUAUCAACUGCAGACACUUAAUAAUUGAAGUGUGAAGGAGAAAGGCAAAGAGGUAGAUGUCAAAUAAUUAAUAAGAAAGACAUUAUAUCUUUGUUCUAAAAAUACUCACAUGAAUUGCAUUUUUAUUUCAAAUUCUUACAUAGUCAAGUAAUGAUGGAGACAAACUUCAUAAUAUUUAUAUAACCUCAGGGUUACAUAAGACUUGAAAAACAGACCCAGAAGGGGGGAAAA
rnacentral:lncRNA from 1 species